rnacentral:rRNA from 1 species
GACGAACCGUGCGAACGUUGUUCGGAAUCACUGGGCUUAAAGGGCGCGUAGGCGGACUGCCAAGUCAGGGGUGAAAGCCCACGGCUCAACCGUGGAAGUGCCUUUGAUACUGGCGGUCUCGAGGGAGGUAGGGGCGUGCGGAACUUCCGGUGGAGCGGUGAAAUGCGUAGAUAUCGGAAGGAACACCGGUGGCGAAAGCGGCGCGCUGGACCUCUUCUGACGCUGAGGCGCGAAAGCCAGGGGAGCGAACGGG